rnacentral:lncRNA from 1 species
GAUCUCUAGAAUCAGAAUUUCUAGCAUCUGGAAGGGGAUAGGGAACAGAAAUCUAUGAUUUAAUAAGCUUGCCAGGUCACCUUUCUGCAGAUGAAAGCAAGACCCUUUAAUAGAACAUGCAAGAAAGGAAAUGAGAAAAGAAAAGUAAUUCUACUUAUCAGAGAUUCAGCUGCAUUUAAGGUAAAACUUCAGUUAACAAGAACCAAUUAAGUGGAAUCCUAAAGACCCUUGAGUUCUUACUCUACUGUGUGUUAGCUUGGACCCUCAGGAAGUCACCUCCUAUCUAAGAUUCAGCCACCUAAUUGGUAAAAAUAAGAUAUUGGUACCUAUUUCUCAGAAUUUUUGAGACUUAAAGGGAAUGAUGUAUUUAAAUAUACUUUGUAAAGAGUAAAGUGUGGACCAAGUUAGUUGUACUUAACAUUAAAUAAUCCUUAUGGGUCAUACCAUUGAAGGCAAAUCACAAUGAAACAAGUUUACAAAAGAACGGAGGUAAUGCCAGAUACUGUAUAUUUAUUAGAUUCUUCUUGUGUGCCACACACUGAGUUAAUCAUAACACAUACAUUAUCCCAUUUAAUUCUCAGGACACCACAUUAAAGAAAUUGUAAAAUUGUACCACCACACUUUUUGAAAGAGAAAAGCAGAUGAAAAAAGUUAACCCAUUUUUGUAAGAUGCACGGAGUCCCAUGCUUGUGAUUCACACUCAGAACUAUCUUACUUUAUGUGCUUUCUUUGCCUACAUAUUUUCACUGUACAUUCUAGCAUCAUGACUUAGUCUUGAGCAAUAGUACCAUGGUUGCUGAGCAAUAAUGAUGCCAUGAGUUAUAAUAAGAUGACUCGAAAUUUAAAAAAAAAGUGUACACUAUGUUUUCAGUGGUAAAGUAGAAAAAGAUAAUGUAAAGUAUUUUUCAAAAUUGUAAGAACAUAAGAAUGUGCUAAGAGUGAUUAUAUUAAAGCCUCACAGUUAAAUUUGUGUUGUUCUAACCUAUCUUUGUUAUGCAGAUUCCCACUGCCUUAUAUAAAUAAUGUUGUACAAUGAUUCCCCUUGUGGUACAGCCGGUAAAGGAUCUGGCAUUAUCACUGCAGCAGCUCAGGUCACUGCUGUGGCUCAGGUUUGGUCCCUGGCCUGGGAACUUCCAUAGCCCACAGGUGUGGCCAGAUAAAUAAAUAAAUAGGUAAAUAAUACUAUACAACACAUUUUAUUGCUGGAGUCCCCCAGGAACCAUUGUGUGAUUUCUGAUAUAUGCACUUUGAUCCAUCAAAUAUGUAGGCAAAGGGAGUAUAUUUCCUUGGUGACUCAGCAGGUUAAGGAUCUGGGAUUGUCACUGCUGUGGCAUGGGUUUGAUCCCUGGUUCAGGAACUCCUGCAUCCUGUGUGUGUGUGUGACCAAACAACAACAACAACAAAAACCAAAUAUGCAGGUAUAAAAUAAAAGAUCAAGAAAUACCUAAACCUGUAACCUUUCAGAUGGCAAGAGCCUAAUCUUCUUAAAGCAAGUUCCCAGAGCCUGACGAUAUACGUUCUUUCUCGUUUGGUUUGAUUUCUCACUGCCGGGGAAACAAGGCUUUGGAGUAUUUUAAAUGACUUUGUUUUGUUGGAUCCACAUAACUUGCACAUGCCUUGGCUGACACUUCCCCUUCUUUAUCCUUGUGUAUAUGUUGGGAAGUGGAGAAAGUAUCUCUCCCUCUUUUCCUUAAGGAGUCUUCCCAGGCAUUGCUCCUGAGUGGUUUCUUUGUAGACUAGACACUGGAAAAAACUAAAGCAGGCAAAGGGACAAGAGAGAAGCUGAACAACAGAAAGACACAGUAACGGCUAUCAUCAUGAAAGGAGAGCCAUUGUGCCACACAACGGUCUGUGCUUUUCAGUGCACAGGGCAGAAUAGAGUGCCCCAAACCGUCCUUUGCUCACAUCCUGAACUGUGAAAAGGGUUGUCCUAGUUUCAGUCAUUUCUUUUAUUCGUCCACUCAAAGAGAGCCAAUGAAACAAAAAGCUAGGUCUAUGCAAGCUCUGCUCUCUGCAGGAACUGUGGGGGACAUGGCAUUUCCGUCCUUAUUCCUGCUAUUCUAGGACUGUUUCUGAGCCCAAGUAAGCAUUUCUCUUGGUGAGACAGACUCUCCUCGAUCACAGGAUCAUCCUCUCCAGGUUCUCAGCCUUUCUCAAGUUCAGAUGAAUACUGUGUAAUCCACUGGCCAAAUUGAUGGAACGUUAAUAAAAUGGAAGGCAAGAGUUAUCAAAGGUAUGAAGUCAGUUCUCCUUGUAGACACUGAUAGCACAACCUUUCCAUACUUGCUCUCUUUCUCUUGAUUACCUGAUAAAUUGGACACAACAUGCUGGGAGGCAAAUUUAUGGUGGAAUAGACAUUUUGAAGCCUUGUGAACUAGGGAAAUACACUUAAACUUUCUGAGUUUCAAUUUCUGAAUAUGUAAUCAGACUAAUAAAGCUUAAUGAAUGAGAGGAGGGGUUGUAAAGCUUAAGUUAGAUGACAUACUAAACUAUUUCUUUUUCAUUCAUUUCGCUAAUAAAUAUUUACUAUGCCGCAAUACUAUACAAGGCCUGGGUAUAUUAAAAUGAAAUCCUUAAAGAAAUUAUGGUUUAACACUUAAAGAUUCUAGAAAUCAGGUUCUCCGUGAACUUGGCUUGAAAUAAUAAUUAUGACUUUAGUUUUAUUUACCUUUAGUAAAAUUUAGCAUUUAGUAAAAAUCAGGAAUGUAGGCAAUAGAUCACAGUAGAACUUUGUCACAUGUAGAGACUACAGAUAUCAUAUUAGUGUGGCAAAAAAUAUCCUAUAAUAUUGUUUUUACAAAGUACUACCUCCAAAGACAAUAGUUAGUGGACUUGCUGCUAGACUUUUAAAAUUAAAGCUUUAAUAUUUUUAUUAAAUAAAAACAUAUUUAAAAUAUAUACCACAAUAUAUUUUGUUAAUAUUUUGGAAACUUUAUAUUGUUAUAAUUUGUUUUCUUUGUAAUCAUCUUAAUUUUAUUUUAUGUGUUUAAAAAUGUCGUUCUGAGGAUGGGUCUAAGGGCUUCAUCAGAUUGCAAAAGGGGUCCAUAGUUUGAAAGGGUUAAGAAUCCUAGCUUCAGAAAAAGUGGUAUUUAAGUAAGUCAACAAUUCCAAUACAUUAUAAUUAAUGUAUGGCAGCAGUAUACUUAAUGUCAUGGAAGGAAUAAUAUCACAGUCUGAAUCAGUGUGUGUGUGUGUGUGUCUGUGUGUGUCUGUGUGUGGUGGGGGAUGGUGUUGGAGAGAACAGCCCUGAGAUAUUGGUCUUGGAAGAUCUCAAUGGUAAACAAUGCUUUAGCUAAGCCUUGAAGAGAGGCUAAGAAUUAGCCAGGCCACACAGAAGGUCAGGUGGACAGUAAGAUAUGAGGGAAGGAAGAUGGACAUUGUAGAGGAGCAGGUAUAAAAGCAGGCACGUGUGAGAUGGCUCCAUGAACCUGGGCCCAAGUUCAUGUGAGAGCAUGGUUGACGAGGACAGGGAGGUCAGCAAGAGUCAGUGCAGGAGAGGACCCAGAUGCCUUGUGCAGGAGUUUGAUCAUUAUUCUAGAUGAGGUGUGGGACCACGGCAGUAUUUUUAGCAGAGGAUGCUGUCGGCAGAUUUGUGAUUUAGGACGAUCACUCUGGCUGUAUGGUGGAGGAUGGACCACUCGGUGUAGCAAUGGUGCAGGGGAGGGAGGCGGUUGGGGGAGGGACAAGGGCUGUUGUACACCUUCGGUAGCAUUCCAGGCAAGAACCAAACCAACGGGGGCCUGAAGCAUGGCCCUGACAGACGAAGGAAGGAAGGAAAGAAGGAAGGAGAAAAGAAAGAAGAGAUAGAGGGAAACAGAAGGAAAACAGUAAGGAGAAGGGAGACAGAGGAAUUGAAUCUUCAGCUAAACAGACAUUUGAAGUCAAAGUGCUUCAUUAAAUUACAAUCACAACUGUUAAUCUACCCUGAGGUGUGAUAGGAUAACCCAUGUGCCAGGUCUCAGUCAAUCAGCCAGAUGGCUACUGAUUGGUUCUUCUGAAAACUAAUCAGAACCCUUCUUCAGUGGUUCAGUUGCUAUACAAAGAUCCACAGGUCAGGUGAGCUCAGUGAACUGAACCUGUGACCAAAUAGACAUUCAAAAGGUGACAAGAAAGGCAGCACAAUUUCUUUUUUGACAGUCAGCAGUAGCUGGGUUUGUUUACAAGUUCCCGGACACUGAUAGCACACACAUAAACCCACGCUUCUGGAAUUUUGUGUUUAAGGCAGAUAAUAUAGGCUUUAUUUCAUAGUCGAUUCAGUAGCAAGGAGUUGCAGAAGCACAUCUGAGAGUAUAAAUGACCUAAAAGAAGUAAAUUAAUAUAUGCCCAUUUUAACACAGAAAAUUUUUAUGAAAAAAAAAAUCUAAAAGUAAUCAUGCAAAGUAAUAUCUGAAGGGGUCUUCAGGAGAAACCAACUGUUUUUAUGGAGCUCAAUUAUUUCAAUUUUCAGCUCUUUUUCUCUCCUGUUAUUUCCCCUUUAUAUUAAUUAUUGAUGUCAAGCAGGAGUCACCUAUUAGACAGCAUUGCAGCUAUUUUUAAGAGUUUUGAGCUUAUUGAAACUUGUUCCUUUACGUGACUGUAUUCCAGACAAAUGACAUUCUGCUUUCGUCUUGAUGAAUUCCUAAAUAAUUGAAUAAAUUUCUGAAAGAGACAAGUCUGAUUUUGGAAAAUACCAAGUCAAAGAUGCUAAGAGGGGAGUCCCUGUUCAAAAGACGUGGUUUUCCGAAUGUGUGAAUUUACAUGUAAUUCCAGAAGAGAUAUUAAUUUAAAAGACUGCCCCCCAUUCCACACCAAAGAAUCUAUUCAAAAUUCGCAAUUAGCAAAUCCAAUUUUCAAUGGAUUUGCUUUUCCAUAAAAGGAGGGGUAAGGAGAAAGGUAGAUUAUGCCAAAUAAAGCAGGAAAAGCAAAAGAAACCAUUAGCGUAAAAGUUCACAGAGCAGUGACGU